GAUGAACGCUAGCGGCAGGCUUAAUACAUGCAAGUCGAGGGGCAGCACGGUUAGCAAUAACUGGUGGCGACCGGCGCACGGGUGCGUAACACGUAUACAAUCUACCUUAAACAGGGGGAUAGCCUUUCGAAAGAGAGAUUAAUACCCGUAAUAAAUUGAACGGCAUCGUUUGAUUUUGAAGCUCCGGCGGUUUGAGAUGAGUAUGCGUCUGAUUAGCUAGUUGGUGAGGUAACGGCUCACCAAGGCGACGAUCAGUAGGGGAUCUGAGAGGACUAACCCCCACACUGGUACUGAGACACGGACCAGACUCCUACGGGAGGCAGCAGUAAGGAAUAUUGGUCAAUGGAGGCAACUCUGAACCAGCCAUGCCGCGUGCAGGAUGACGGCCCUAUGGGUUGUAAACUGCUUUUAUACAAGAGAAAACCCUGGUACGUGUACCAGGUUGAUAGUAUUGUAAGAAUAAGCAUCGGCUAAACUUCGUGCCAGCAGCCGCGGUAAU
rnacentral:rRNA from 1 species